GGCAAGAUAGCCAAGUGGUUACGGCGCUAGUUUCAGGUUCUUGAGAACUUGCUAGUUGGGAAACCUUCGUGGGUUCGAAUCCCACUCUUGUCA